AUUGAACGCUGGCGGCAGGCUUAACACAUGCAAGUCGAGCGAGCGGCGGACGGGUGAGUAAUGUCUGGGAAACUGCCUGAUGGAGGGGGAUAAGUACUGGAAACGGUAGCUAAUACCGCAUACCAUCAGAUGAGCCCAGAUGGGCGUAGCUAGUAGGGGGGGUAAUGGCUCACCUAGGCGAAGAUCCCUAGCUGGUCUGAGAGGAUUACCAGCCCCACUGGAACUGAGCCACUGUCCAGACUCCUACGGGAGGCAGCAGUGGGGAAUAUGUCACAAUGUGCGCAAGCCUGAUGCAUCCAUGCCGCGUGUGUGAAGAAGGCCUUCGGGUUGUAAAGCACUUUCAGCGAGGAGGCUUUACUCGCAGAAGAAGCACCGGCUAACUCCGUGCCAGCAGCCGCGGUAAUUC
rnacentral:rRNA from 1 species